rnacentral:lncRNA from 10 species
CCGGCUCCGGGGCGGAGCCUGGGGCACAAUCCCGCCCCCUUCCUGCUACACCCACUGCAGGCCGCGCCUGGCCUUGAUGGGCAGACGUAUUGGCCUGUGGAAAGGGGGUGGGCGGAGCCUCUGCGGCCAGAUGGGUGGGGAUUCAACAUCCUCUUUCCGCCCCACCUCCACCCGCUCCACCUUCCCCCGCGCUUCCUAGGCGGGAGCCCCGCCCUCUAGGGCGGGUCCAACGGACAGCCAGGUUCUAGGACAAGGAUUGACACAGGGGGAAUCCAAUCAGGAGGCGGCGACUCGGGGCGCGGAGAGCUCCGGGCCGGGGUUUUGGUGCCUUGCCUGGGCCGGGGCGAGGCCCUGCGGGAGCCGACUGGGAAGGUCUGGAACUCUGACACCCCGCCCCGCGAGCUGUGCUCUCAGUCUCAUGUCAUCCCACCACAAGGACAGAUAUUAAGUACCAUAUAUGGGAAAAAUGCUAUUUUACAUAAUUAUGAUCCCUGUGGGGGCGGGCAUGGACUCAGCCCUGGAUUCCAUUGUGAGCGUCUUGAGUUCGAUUCCUGACCCUGCCUCUUUAGGAUCCGCACGUUGCUGCCUUUCAGCCUCCAAACCUUCGCUCUGGCCGUUCUCUCCACCUGGAAUACCCUUCCGAGCCUCUCUUCACCUCCAUGUCAUUAACUCGCAUACAUCCUUUCAGAUAUUUCCUGAGGGCUUGUGAUUUGCCAGAUCCUGUACCAGGUGCUGGAACUUGGUGAUAGACAAUCCACAGUCUCUGCUCUGAAGACAUCCAUGCAGGUUGCUAAUUGGCCUGAUGUGAACCUGGAUGGAGCAGCUGGUGGUCUUUGCCGUCAUGUUGGGAGAAACUGCCUGAAAAUAAAUCCUGCACAGAGGAGAGCAGGGCUGAGGGACAGAGUCCUGACAGUAUCAUCUGGACUCCUGCACCCAGCUCCACCUGGACUUUUAUUUAUUAUUAUUAUUUAUUGCCAACCAAUAAAUUCCCUUUCAGUUCCCCCAUGUUGGGGUUCUGCCCUUGCAACAUCAAACAGCUGGGGACAGAGUGCCAGGAUUCAGAGCAGCACUGGUCAGACACCAAGUGUCCAUUGAGGGGCUGCGGGGAAAAGUUGAGUGCAAAAUGCUGAUUCUGCCUUUCACAAGCCAGGGACACAGGCAGCAAGGGGUGCCUAGGACACUGUUCUAGAGCAGCAUCGUAGACAUCCAGGCUCUCAUUUGAUCUCGUCCCCAAAAAAUAAGCAGAGGAAGCAUAAUCAUCUCGGAAUGAUGAGGAAUCCAUGGCUCAGAGAGAUGAGGUCACUUGCCCAAGGCCACACAGGAAGUGGCAGAGCUGAGGUUUAGCCCAGGUGUUUUCAAGUCUCAGCCAGGGCGCUUGGUGUUCCUUUGGCCACUCCCCAUGGGGCUGAGUUCUGCCUGGAAUCACAGCCAAUAUCUGCUGAGUGCCUGCCAUGUGCCGGGAACCACGCCUGUGGUGGAGGCAGAGGAUACACGUCAGGCCUUU